UACGUAGGUGGCAAGCGUUAUCCGGAUUUACUGGGUGUAAAGGGCGUGUAGGCGGGAAAGCAAGUCAGAUGUGAAAACCAUGGGCUCAACCCGUGGCCUGCAUUUGAAACUGUUUUUCUUGAGUACUGGAGAGGCAGACGGAAUUCCUAGUGUAGCGGUGAAAUGCGUAGAUAUUAGGAGGAACACCAGUGGCGAAGGCGGUCUGCUGGACAGCAACUGACGCUGAGGCGCGAAAGCGUGGGGAGCAAACAGG
rnacentral:rRNA from 1 species